rnacentral:rRNA from 1 species
AGCAGCCGCGGUAAUUCCAGCUCCAAUAGCGUAUAUUAAAGUUGCUGCAGUUAAAAAGCUCGUAGUUGAAUUUCGGAACCAAUAUGUUGGUUGUGCCUCGGUACGUACUGGCAUUGUUGGUUUCUCCCUUCUGACGAACUAUGAUGUCAUUAAUUUGGUGUCAUGGGGAAUCAGGACUGUUACUUUGAAAAAUUAGAGUGUUUAAAGCAGGCUCACGCUUGAAUACAUUAGCAUGGAAUAAUGAAAUAGGACGUUUGAUUCUAUUUUGUUGGUUUCUAGGAUUGACGUAAUGAUUAAUAGGGAUAGUUGGGGGCAUUAGUAUUCAAUUGUCAGAGGUGAAAUUCUUGGAUUUAUUGAAGACUAACUACUGCGAAAGCAUUUGCCAAGGAUGUUUUCAUUAAUCAAGAACGAAAGUUAGGGGAUCGAAGACGAUCAGAUACCGUCGUAGUCUUAACCAUAAAACUAUGCCGACUAGGGAUCGGAUGAUGUUAAUUUUUAAUGACUCAUUC